rnacentral:lncRNA from 1 species
UUGCUUGCAUGAUCUGCAGGACUCAAAUGAGGGGGUUGCAACCCCAUAUGGUAAACUUGCUUCAGCAGGCAUGUGUACAGAAGCGAGAAACGGGAGCUGCAGACGGCAUCAUCCACCAAAGCUCUGCCUACGAUGAAGAAAGGUGACAUAAGCAUGAUGCCGCUCUGCCUGAGAUAUGGGUGCCGGUUUGGAAGCCGUUGAGGAUGGAGGCGUAUGUUGGCUACUGGCUCAUAUCACGAGGCAUGACACGUGAAUAGUGACCACUGGUGAGUUGUUCUCUGGGGGAAAUCAUGAUGUAACAGGUUGAUUAAGGCAACUACCCAGGUUCAAACAGGAUGAAGCCGUUGAGGAAGUAUGUUACUUACUACUAGUAACUUGUAGCUCAUAUACGGAGCUUAAACUUGAGAAUGGUGAAGUGUUCUCUGGGUAAGUCAUGAUAGAACGGGUUGGAUUAGGCAAAUGACCCAGUUCCGACCUGAGUUCGAAUCCCGGGCAUGCUUUUUCUGCUUGGGAGGUGAUAGCUGUGACUACAGGUAUCUACACAGUUGCGUCCAUCACUCUGAGAUUGACAGAUGGUUGGGGACCCCCUGAUUUUGAGGGGGAAUAAUUGUCAUUCAUGUGCAAGCAAACAAGGGCAACUGCAGUUUUUGGAUUUUGUGUCAAAUUACCUCUUGCUGCAUAUAUUCUGUAUGGAGUCUCCUAUACAGGGUUUGGCGUAUUUAACUUCUGAUGGGCAUGUUUGUCUGUCUACAGGGCCCACCCAGCAACCUGCAGCUGCUGUGGACAACACCACAUGCUUUUCCCACCACACAUCACCACGCAGAGUCAGUGGAAGGUUAAAGCAGUAGUAAGGUGUGUGGCAUAAAACUGCAUUCUAAGUUCCACAUCACAGUCAUUGCAGUUCUUGAUGGUCUGACAAAGGUGCUACUGUAUGCCCCUGCCUGAUCUUUGCUGCAUACAGGCUCACAAGCUGCUUGUGGAGGACUGCUGCUGCAGCAAUGUCUUGUAGUGUUAACUAACGGCGAUAGAGGACUAAUACUAGGCAUGACUACCAGAAGGUGUUAGGGUGGAUAGUGCAUGUGACCUAUGAUGUAGCAUGUUUUGAGGCA